AAAGACUUAGUCCUAACCUUGCUAUUGAUUUUUGCUAGACAUAUACAUGCAAGUAUCUGCGCACCAGUGAAAAUGCCCUAACACCUCCUACCGAAGAAAAGGAGCAGGUAUCAGGCACACCUACAGUAGCCCAAGACACCUUGCUCAAGCCACACCCCCACGGGUAUUCAGCAGUAAUUAACCUUAAGCAAUAAGUGCAAGCUUGACUUAGCCAUAGCAAUUCUAGGGUUGGUAAAUCUUGUGCCAGCCACCGCGGUCAUACAAGAAACCCGAAUCAAUAGCCACCCGGCGUAAAGAGUGGCCAUAUGUUAUCAACAUAGCUAAGAUCGAAAUGCAACUAAGCUGUCAUAAGCCCAAGAUCCAUUUAAGCCCUCCAAACCAUCUUAGCCCAACGACUAAUUUUAAUCCACGAAAGCCAGGGCACAAACUGGGAUUAGAUACCCCACUAUGCCUGGCCCUAAAUCUUGAUGCCAUCAUACCCAUGCAUCCGCCUGAGAACUACGAGCACAAACGCUUAAAACUCUAAGGACUUGGCGGUGCCCCAAACCCACCUAGAGGAGCCUGUUCUGUAACCGAUAAUCCACGAUUCACCCAACCACCCCUUGCCAACACAGCCUACAUACCGCCGUCGCCAGCCCACCUAAAUGAAAGAUCAACAGUGGGCCCAACAGUCCCCCCCCCCACUAGCAAGACAGGUCAAGGUAUAGCCCAUGGGGUGGAAGAAAUGGGCUACAUUUUCUAACAUAGAAUAUAAACGAAAAAGGGUGUGAAACCCACCCUUGGAAGGAGGAUUUAGCAGUAAAGUGGGACCAUGUUCUUCCAAGCCUACUUUAAGAUGGCCCUGGGGCACGUACAUACCGCCCGUCACCCUCUUCAUAGGCUACUAACAUUAAUAAAUAAUACCCAUACUAAGCCAAAGACGAGGUAAGUCGUAACAAGGUAAGCGUACCGGAAGGUG
rnacentral:ncRNA from 1 species